rnacentral:rRNA from 1 species
AUUGAACGCUGGCGGCAUGCUUUACACAUGCAAGUCGAACGGUAACAGGGAGCUUGCUCCGCUGACGAGUGGCGAACGGGUGAGUAAUGCAUCGGAACAUGCCCAGUCAUGGGGGAUAACUACGCGAAAGCGUAGCUAAUUCCGCAUACGCCCUGAGGGGGAAAGUGGGGGAUCUUAGGACCUCACGUGAUUGGAGUGGCCGAUGUCAGAUUAGCUAGUUGGUGAGGUAAAGGCUCACCAAGGCGACGAUCUGUAGCGGGUCUGAGAGGAUGAUCCGCCACACUGGGACUGAGACACGGCCCAGACUCCUACGGGAGGCAGCAGUGGGGAAUUUUGGACAAUGGGCGCAAGCCUGAUCCAGCCAUGCCGCGUGAGUGAAGAAGGCC